rnacentral:rRNA from 1 species
GACGUAGGGCGCGAGCGUUGUCCGGAUUUAUUGGGCGUAAAGAGCUCGUAGGCGGUUUGGUAAGUCGGGUGUGAAAUCUCCACGCUCAACGUGGAGGGGCCACCCGAUACUGCCAUGACUCGAGUCCGGUAGGGGAGUGUGGAAUUCCCGGUGUAGCGGUGAAAUGCGCAGAUAUCGGGAGGAACACCGGUGGCGAAGGCGGGUCUCUGGGCCGAUACUGACGCUGAGGAGCGAAAGCGUGGGGAGCAAACAGG